GCUUUGUUACGCUCUCGGGAUGGCGGAAGCCAGCUCCGUCUAGGGGCACGGCUCAAGCGGCUUUCCACAGGCUACCUCUGAGUUAGGAAAUACCAAAAGGUCCCCAGGAGGCUGGCUUCUUUUGAAGCUUUUCGCCUCAGAUCCGUGGUCAAGCUUUUGAGCCUGACAUGGAUUUCACUGGAGUGGUGUGGCAACUGAGCUCUUUCUCAUUGAUCUCGGAACUAGAAGCACUUAUUGACUUAUGAUGAACAGCGCAUGCAACCUGCUGAAACGCCACUUAUCUUUGACCUCAGGCAUAACUGAUAUGGCUACCAGUACUGUAUCUGGUAGAACACAAGGCUACCAAAAUAGAUGUGGGAGAUGAAGCCUCUUUGUGGGAUGAGGGAAAGAAUCCUUAUCUGCAAAAUCUAAAGAAAUCUGGCUGCCUCAAUUCAAAUCUGAAUUUCACUGACUUCCAGUUCUUCACCGCUGAGAACCUGGACAUAACUAUUCAACGGUUUCCUUGUCAGAUCCAUGGUAAGGGUCUCAAUCUAAGUGUCCUCUGAGCUGUCUUAGAAUUGUGCUAAAUAAAUGGUGGCAACAGUA